ensembl:snRNA U6 U6 spliceosomal RNA
GUUUUUCACUUCAGCAGCAUGUAUAAUAAAAUUGAAACCAUGCUAAGAAGACUAGCAUGGCCACUGUGAAAGGAUGACAUGAAAAUUCAUGAAGCACUACAUACGUGU